CGAAUGCUGACAUAAGUAACGAUAAAGCGGGUGAAAAGCCCGCUCGCCGGAAGACCAAGGGUUCCUGUCCAACGUUAAUCGGGGCAGGGUGAGUCGACCCCUAAGGCGAGGCCGAAAGGCGUAGUCGAUGGGAAACAGGUUAAUAUUCCUGUACUUGGUGUUACUGCGAAGGGGGGACGGAGAAGGCUAUGUUGGCCGGGCGACGGUUGUCCCGGUUUAAGCGUGUAGGCUGGUUUUCCAGGCAAAUCCGGAAAAUCAAGGCUGAGGCGUGAUGACGAGGCACUACGGUGCUGAAGCAACAAAUGCCCUGCUUCCAGGAAAAGCCUCUAAGCAUCAGGUAACAUCAAAUCGUACCCCAAACCGACACAGGUGGUCAGGUAGAGAAUACCAAGGCGCUUGAGAGAACUCGGGUGAAGGAACUAGGCAAAAUGGUGCCGUAACUUCGGGAGAAGGCACGCUGAUAUGUAGGUGAAGUCCCUUGCGGAUGGAGCUGAAAUCAGUCGAAGAUACCAGCUGGCUGCAACUGUUUAUUAAAAACACAGCACUGUGCAAACACGAAAGUGGACGUAUACGGUGUGACGCCUGCCCGGUGCCGGAAGGUUAAUUGAUGGGGUCAGCGCAAGCGAAGCUCUUGAUCGAAGCCCCGGUAAACGGCGGCCGUAACUAUAACGGUCCUAAGGUAGCGAAAUUCCUUGUCGGGUAAGUUCCGACCUGCACGAAUGGCGUAAUGAUGGCCAGGCUGUCUCCACCCGAGACUCAGUGAAAUUGAACUCGCUGUGAAGAUGCAGUGUACCCGCGGCAAGACGGAAAGACCCCGUGAACCUUUACUAUAGCUUGACACUGAACAUUGAGCCUUGAUGUGUAGGAUAGGUGGGAGGCUUUGAAGUGUGGACGCCAGUCUGCAUGGAGCCGACCUUGAAAUACCACCCUUUAAUGUUUGAUGUUCUAACGUUGACCCGUAAUCCGGGUUGCGGACAGUGUCUGGUGGGUAGUUUGACUGGGGCGGUCUCCUCCUAAAGAGUAACGGAGGAGCACGAAGGUUGGCUAAUCCUGGUCGGACAUCAGGAGGUUAGUGCAAUGGCAUAAGCCAGCUUGACUGCGAGCGUGACGGCGCGAGCAGGUGCGAAAGCAGGUCAUAGUGAUCCGGUGGUUCUGAAUGGAAGGGCCAUCGCUCAACGGAUAAAAGGUACUCCGGGGAUAACAGGCUGAUACCGCCCAAGAGUUCAUAUCGACGGCGGUGUUUGGCACCUCGAUGUCGGCUCAUCACAUCCUGGGGCUGAAGUAGGUCCCAAGGGUAUGGCUGUUCGCCAUUUAAAGUGGUACGCGAGCUGGGUUUAGAACGUCGUGAGACAGUUCGGUCCCUAUCUGCCGUGGGCGCUGGAGAACUGAGGGGGGCUGCUCCUAGUACGAGAGGACCGGAGUGGACGCAUCACUGGUGUUCGGGUUGUCAUGCCAAUGGCACUGCCCGGUAGCUAAAUGCGGAAGAGAUAAGUGCUGAAAGCAUCUAAGCACGAAACUUGCCCCGAGAUGAGUUCUCCCUGACUCCUUGAGAGUCCUGAAGGAACGUUGAAGACGACGACGUUGAUAGGCCGGGUGUGUAAGCGCAGCGAUGCGUUGAGCUAACCGGUACUAAUGAACCGUGAGG
rnacentral:rRNA from 1 species